rnacentral:lncRNA from 1 species
AGAGAGUAUGCAAGCGGACACUCACACCACGUUCCACGCUACUACCACGACUCUUAUAAUAGACCAACGCACACAACAUACGGUACGAUGCCAUGACGACGACGACGACGUACGCGCGCUCAGUUGGACCGCAUUUUGUUGAGCUGAUUGAGCGCCGGCUGCAGAAUGUUGUAGAGCACCCAGCCGAGGGCGGGCGCCACCACGAAAAGCAGCAGCAGGCCCCGGUUGUCGUCGGCCGGCGCGACCGCCGCCAGCGCGGCGAGCUCCUGCACGGCGGCGGAGGCCGGCUCCGGCACGGCGGCCAGGCCGGCGGCCGCGGCAGCGCCGAUGCCCAGCCCGGCGACGAGCGCCUUCUCGGACCGCAUCUUGUUGAGCUGGUUCAGCGCCGGCUGGAGGAUGUUGUAGAGCACCCACCCGAGCGCGGGCGCCACCACGAAGAGCAGGAGUAGGCCCCGGUUGUCGUCCGCGGGCGCCGCCGCCGCCACGUCCGCGAUCCGCUGCGACGCCAUCGCCGCGUCCGACGAGGCCAGCGAGGUGAAGAAGGCGCUCGCCAUGGCAGCGGCCGCCGGCGACACGGCCAGGGCUCCCUUCUUGGCCGCGUUCUUCUGCAGGCUGCGCAGCGAGAUGCUCGGCGACGCCACCUUGGCGCUGGACGACGUCGACGACGAAGGCGCCGACCUCGCCGUGAUCUUGGCGGGCUUGAGCAUGGUCAUCGUGGCUAUGGUCGCCAUUGACGCCUAGCUCCCUGGUUGCUCGCUGCCUUCUCUCCCUCGCAAGAAGCUCUCACGCUGGCAAAAAGGUGGAUGGAGGGGUGCUGUGGGGUGCGCGGGUGUGUAAUGCGAUGCCCUUCCCUUCCCCUGCGUUUCUAGAACGGACGAUGUGGCGUGGCUAGCUUAUCUUGUGCGGCGAGUGUGCGAUGGAGGUUUGAAAGCUUAUCUCGCGGCCUGCAACUUGCAAUGCCAUUGGCUGUGGGAGCAACUAGGCGGGGACCACACGAUUUACAUGGAGACUUUGGUGAGAGGAAGUGGAGUCGUGAAAUGAAUCGGAAAUUCAGAUAUCUCACAGUAGUAGGAAUAUAAGCGUGCCCUAGAAUGUCCUAUGGUACCAAACGACAAGAUCGUAUUCGUCUCAAGAAAAGACAAGAUCGGAGAUCGUCUGGAUUGAAACGUCUAGGUAUUUUCGGUGAAUUUCAGUUAAAAAUACACGAAAUGACGUUCAUCUUCGUGCUCCACAAUGUCUUUCCUCUUCGUUUACGCUGAUCAUUGCAGAACUAUUCUGUAACACAGACGAAGGAAGUAGACAACACCAUCCAAACGUUGAUAAUAAUUAAUAAGUUUAUGAAUUACUUCAUGCAUGAGCAUCAAAAUAUGAUGAACCACCAAACUAGAUACAGCACGGAAAGAACAAAAUCUGGUAGCAAUUAUUCACUCCCUACACGGAAUCGCCAGGCGUUUCCAUCCAUUAUUCGUCAGGGUAGAAACCAUGGAGCAAAAACAAACCAAAUGGCAGGCUGAUUACAACUUUCCGACAUCUCCACGGGGGAAGACCCUGCUCUGCUCACACUCAGGCUCCGAGCUGCAGCUUCUUUAUUGUGUCGAUCUGCUUUGCAGGGUUCAGCCCCUUGGGGCAGGCAUGCGUGCAGUUCUUGAUGGUGUGGCAGCGGUACAGCUUGAACUCGUCGUUGAUGGAGUCAAGGCGCUCCUUUGUGAACUCAUCACGGCUGUCUUGGAUCCACCUGGGAAGAACCAAUGUGUUUAUGGCACACGCCAAAGAAGCAUGUUAUAUCUCUCAGACACUGCAGUCGUAAGCCCAAUCCAAAGAACCAAUGUGUUUAUGGCUCAAGGCAUUUGAAACACUUGCAGAUAUGUGAAAAUGAUACUUAAACAAGUUAUAAAUGACUAAGAUGUUUCCCGGUUCUUCUGACUAAGGGCACUUGCAAUUAUUAGUCAAAAGAUAUUGUUCAAAUUUUUGUGUGCCUUAUAUCAGAUCAUGUUUUAGAUUAGAAGUUAAAAGGGCAAAUUGUGACAAACAAUAUGAUAAAUCAGAGGAUCAGAUAUACUAAAUCUCAGUGCACUCAUCAAAUAAAACCAGAUGAGAUAAAUAUUGAAUCAAACAGCCAGCUUAUAGAAACCUUGAACAAUAGAAUCUUUAGCUUCAUAAAUGCUGAAUAGCAUGAAAAACAGUACAUUACACUGCCUCAACUAAAUAAAGAGAAAACCAUGCCGUUUGCUGGCAGUAAAAAAACUUGACAGAUAGUUUCAGGAAUCAAACACUGAAAGAGGGCAACCUUAUUUUGCUGGCCUACUGAAGAGCUAGUUCUUUCUUCUACCCAUCUGUUAACAUCUACCAAGAUGCUUUCUUAACACCCAUCAGUUCACCCUUAUUUGCCAAGGUACGGAACACGAUACGAGACAUGCGGAAUUUUUGGUAGACACCACGAGAGCGGCCCGUGAAAAUACAGCGGUUUCUAAGACGUGUCAUGUUACUAUUUCUUGGCAGCUUGGACAACUUAUAGCGAAACUUAUCCCGCAUAUCUGAUGGAAGAUCAGGGUCCCUACAGACAGACUUAUAAAGCUUUCCUCUCAGCUCAUAUUUUGCUGCAAGCAAUCUACGUUUGUGAUCACGCAUGUUUCUCUUCUCUGAGACCCCAUGAUAUCCUCGAGCUUGGACGUGCAUGAACAUGCUGGGUUUUGGUUUCAUUAGCGUCCCCCACAGCGGAAGCCUAAAAAGGGUGAACGGGUGAACGUGUCAUGGACUUAACAACAUCCUAAAGCUUACAACAAAAGGCAUUAAAUAUAUUAGACAAUUAGCAUUUUAAUUCUGGUAGAACAUAACCAUAAUUUGCGGGUAAAGGGGGAAACUAGCAUGCUCUAUACUGAAAGAGAGGUUACCACAAAUAAAAGUAACUUCCAAAUCAAGGCCACCUCAAGAAUUAGGCUACUAGUGGGGGGAUAGGGGGGCUAGGACUUCCGAUGUCAUCCACAAUCCUAAUAAGGAAGAAGACUCGCGAAGUCAUGAAGAAGCAGACUGCUGAAAUGACAAACUCAUGAUUAUUUCCAACAGUGGCGCAUCAACUUCCAAAACAAUCAGCCAAAGACCAGAUAAAAAAGAAUAAAAACAGUCCCUAGAUAAGGCAUUCUUCAACCAAACGGACAUUUCACAGUACCCACCAAAUGAUCAUCUACACUGCUUCGCCGGGGAGCUAGCAAAGAAGUAACAGAUGAUCAUUGCAUAAAUGGACCUAAUAAUAUAUAUACAAACAGUCACUGAUGCCCAAAAUGUAUAGGCAUUCUUCAACCAAACGGGCAUUUCACACUAUCCGCCAAACAAUCAUGUACACCGCUUUGCCAGGGAGCUAGCAAAAAAGUAACAGAUGAUCAUUGCAUAAAUGUACCAAAUAAUUCACCACCACAUACCAGUGAACAAUUCUCCUAGAUAAAACGCACAUAGUUGCAUGCCUAGAACUACCUAGGCGAGAUGAAACCACCCUACGUAUCAUCCCACAACCAUUUCACAGCAUGACACACCAACCGAUCAAUCACAUGUCACUCGGUAAUCGAGUAGAUCCAGCACACAGAAGCAACAUACUCAGCAUAUCAUCACAAUUCACGAUAUCAAGAGAAUACGAGCGAGGCGCAGGUAUACCUGUUGGCAUGGAGCAGCGCUGCGGGGCCGAGAUACUCUUCUGGGUUCCACCAGUAGGACGGGCAGGAUGUGGAGCAGCAGGCGCAGAGGAUGCACUCGUACAUGCCAUCGAGCUUGGCGCGGUCGGCCUUGGACUGGUAGAUCUCCUUCCCUCCGGCCGACGCCGGGUCCUUGCGCUUGAGCCACGGCUCGACGCUCUUGUACUGGUUGUAGAAGUUGGUCAUGUCGACGACGAGGUCCUUGACGACGAACAUGUGCGGGAGCGGCGAGAUCGUGGAGGCACCGGCCGCCUCCGAGGAGAUCUUGGUGAGGCAGGCCAGCCCGUUGUCGCCGUCGAUGUUCAUGGCGCAGCUGCCGCAGAUGCCCUCGCGGCAGCUCCGGCGGAAGGUGAGGGACGGGUCCUGCUCGUUCUUGAUCUUGAGGAGCGCGUCGAGCACCAUGGGGCCGCAGUCGGAGAGGUCCACCUUGUAGUCCUUGAGGUGGGGCUUCGUCGACGGGGAAUCCGGGUCCCAGCGGUAGAUCGAGAAGGUCUUGGUGCUAGCAGGCUUCGAUGAGGGCGGCGGCGGCGCGGGGGAAGAGGAAUGGGGCUUGGAGGCGACGAGGCGGGAGGAGAGGGCCGGCGAAAGGAGGGCGCGCGCCGCCGGCGAGCGGCGGAGGAGGGCGGCGGCGGCCAUCGAUUUGGGGUUUCGCGUUUCUCUCUCUCUCUCUCUCUCUCUCCUUUUUCUCCUUUAUUUUUGGGAGGUAGGAGAGGGGAAGGUGGCGCGUGGUGGGCUUAGGCCCAGCUGGGUAUAUAUAUGUCGUGGUGCUGAUGGGUGGAUGACAUGUGGGGUCAAGAUGGAGGUAACGGAAUGGCGGUUCUAGGGUUGUGGUGGGUUACUGACAGGUGGGGCUUCUGAAAGCUUGGGUUGGGCCUUCUUGUGGAUGGGAGGGUGGAGAUGUGGACAAGCUCUGGGCCGUUUGCAAGAUGACAAUGGAAAGUUGGCUAGGGAAAAUGACUUCAUCGUAGCGUCAAGUUUUAUUGGAUUUGUGUAGCUUUUUCCUCCUCUCCUUUUUCAGGUCUUCUAUUUCGGUUUUGACUCUGCUGUCAUACCGGUCUUCAUAUAUGUGGGGCAUGUGAGAAUUCAAGAAUGGUGUACUGUGGAAACUGAAACUUAUCUUCAAGCUAUCAUAAAUACAAGAUGUCCUAAUGUUUUAAUGUGUUUGUUCAAUCAUUCCAUUUUGUAUGUAGUCUAUAUUAAAAUAUAUAAUAUUUAUAAACUGAAAAAAAUACUGUGCAUGUAAAAUAUAAUGAAUAAAUUAAGUCGUUGGCACACAACACAUGAUCGUUGAGCCAUCAAUAAAAAGGAUACUCCCCCAUGUACAUUUUACUCCGCAUAUAAGAUUUGUUUAAAGACAGUCUUUGAAAAUUUUGGUCGACUUCAUUAGGAAAAAAAAUCAACAAUCGCAAUGCAAAAUCAAUAGCAUUAAAUGUAUCAUGAAUUUAAUUUUCAUAUUGUAUACCUUUAGCAUUGUAGAUGUUGAUAAUUUUACAUAAAUAUGAUUAAAUUUUAUGAAGUUUGACAUAAAAAAAAAAUCUUGUAUACAGAGCAUAAAAGACCGGAGGUAAUACUGCAUGAACCCUUUUAUUUCAACAACAAAACCAGUGCUAGCAUAAGGAAAGCAAUAUCAUGAGAGCUGCGUAGGCUUGCUCACGCAAAUCCCCAAAUCCUACCGUAGACUUUAGCUGCGAGAGCUAUAUCUCGCUCCAAAACCUUUCCCUCAUGUGCAGCCAUUGGACCAAACCAGUUUCGUCUGGUUGUUUCUGGUUUGAUCUGGUUUUGAUCGAGACACUCUUGUUCGCAUUAGUUUCUUUGAAAAAAAAAAUAUUCUUACCAUGAUUUUCUUUUGGUUCUACAACGGGUUUUUUUUUCGUUUUUAUUUGUUUUAGCCGGUUUCUUCAUUUAUUUAUCGGUAUGAAUGGUUUCCCUCUUUUUUCCUUAGUUUUUUUUUCUUUUCUCGAGUUUUUUGAGAUUUUUUCUUUUCUUUCUUGCAUCAGUUUUCUUCUGUUUCUUAUUAUUUUUAUUUUUCUUUCUCAUUCCUUUUGUAUUUUUAUUUGAUUUUUUGUUUCUUCCCUGCUUCCUAUGAUUUUCAGUGUUUUUUGUGUGUUUCUAUAUUUGUUUUUUUACUGUGUCCCAUUCUUUUUGCAAUUGUUUCUUCGGUUUUGUUUUUCUUUGGUUUCUUUUAUUUCUUUUGUCAGUUUUCAUUUGUUUCUCAUUUUUCUUUGAAUCUUUCAAUAUUCAUCAUACAUUUUACUUGUAUGACAAGAAUAUUUUUCUAACACAAGUUUAACAUUCUUAGAUACAGGUUUCAUUUUUUUAAUACACGGUCAGUAUUUAUUCUAUCCAUGUUUUUUAAGAUCUUGCAAUGGCUUGAUUAUCAUUUUCAAAUACAAGAUUACCAUUUUAGAUACAUGGUCAACAUUUUUCUAUACACAUUAAAAAUCAAAUGCUUAACUAACAUUUUUCAAAUACGCAUGUAAACUUUUUAAAUGUUUCAUUAGCAUUUUCUAAGUACAUGAUCAAUUUUACGGAGUGCAAUUUAAGUUGUCGCAAGUUAAAUAAAUAUUGCAUGAAGAUAGUGUUAGAGGUAAUAACAUUGUGGAAGUCCACUAGGAGAGUGACCAUUUCUGCUACGUGUUGGGUCCUAGAGAUGGAAUGUCAUCUCGACGACAAACCAAGGGUCGUUGUCAAUUGCCACAAGUUGCAUGUCAUGUUGGAAAUAUGUCCUAGAGUCAAUAAUAAAAUGGUUAUUAUUAUAUUUCCUAGUUCAUGAUAAUUUGUCUAUUGUUCAUGCUAUAAUUGUAUUAACCGGAAACCGUAACACAUGUGUGAAUAUAUAGAUAACAAUGUGUGUCUAGUGAGCCUCUAGUUGGCUAGCUCGUUGAUCAAUAGAGGAUCAUGGUUUCCUCAUCAUGGACAUUGGAUGUCAUUGAUAAUGGGAUUACAUCAUUGGGGAAAGAUGUGAUGGACAAGACCCAAUCCUAAGCAUAACACUAGAUCGUGUUGUUCGUCUGCUAAAACUUUUCUAAUGUCAAGUAUCAUUUCCUUAGACCGUGAGAUUGUGAAACUCCCGGAUACCAUAGGAGCGCUUUGGGUGUAUCAAAUGUCACAACGUAACUGGGUGAUUAUAAAGGUGCACUACGGGUAUCUCCGAAAUGUUGGAAAUAUGCCCUAGAGGCAAUAAUAAAUUAGUUAUUAUUAUAUUUCUUUGUUCAUGAUAAUCGUUUAUUAUCCAUGCUAUAAUUGUAUUGAUUGGAAACACAAAUACAUGUGUGGAUACAUAGACAAAACACUGUCCCUAGUAAGCCUCUAGUUGACUAGCUCGUUGAUCAAAGAUGGUCAAGGUUUUCUGACCAUAGACAAGUGUUGUCACUUGAUAACGGGAUCGCAUCAUUAGGAGAAUCAUGUGAUGGACUAGACCCAAACUAUGAACGUAGCAUAUUGAUUGUGUCAUUUUAUUGCUAUUGUUUUCUGCGUGUCAAGUAUUUAUUCCUAUGACCAUGAGAUCAUAUAACUCACUGGCACCGGAGAAAUACCUUGUGUGUAUCAAAUGUCGCAACGUAACUGGGUGACUAUAAGGGUGCUCUACA